AGACGGCAGUGGGGAAUAUUGCACAAUGGGGGAAACCCUGAUGCAGCCAUGCCGCGUGUGUGAAGAAGGCCUUCGGGUUGUAAAGCACUUUCAGUAGGGAGGAAGGUAGUGUAGUUAACACCUGCAUUAUUUGACGUUACCUACAGAAGAAGCACCGGCUAACUCCGUGCCAGCAGCCGCGGUAAUACGGAGGGUGCGAGCGUUAAUCGGAAUUACUGGGCGUAAAGCGCAUGCAGGCGGCCUGUUAAGUCAGAUGUGAAAGCCCCGGGGCUUAACCUCGGAAUUGCAUUUGAAACUGGCAGGCUAGAGUCUUGUAGAGGGGGUAGAAUUUCAGGUGUAGCGGUGAAAUGCGUAGAGAUCUGAAGGAAUACCAGUGGCGAAGGCGGCCCCCUGGACAAAGACUGACGCUCAGAUGCGAAAGCGUGGGGAGCAAACAGGAUUAGAUACCCUGGUAG
rnacentral:rRNA from 1 species